rnacentral:tRNA from 1 species
GCGCCCCUAGCUCAAUGGCAGAGCAACGGACUCUUAAUCCGCAGGUUGUGGGUUCGAAUCCCACGGGGCGCA